AGCAGCCGCGGUAAUUCCAGCUCCAAUAGCGUAUAUUAAAGUUGUUGCAGUUAAAAAGCUCGUAGUCGAACUUCGGGGUUCACCCAUUGGUCAGGCUUAAUUGUCUGUACUGGUGAGAUGAAUCUCUACCUUCUGAGGAACUUUCAUGCCAUUUAUUUGGUGUGAUGGGAAAUCAGGACUGUUACUUUGAAAAAUUAGAGUGUUUAAAGCAGGCUAACGUCUGAAUACAUUAGCAUGGAAUAAUGAAAUAGGACGGAUUGAUUCUAUUUCGUUGGUUUCUAGGGUCACCGUAAUGAUUAAUAGGGAUAGUUGGGGGCAUUAGUAUUCAAUUGUCAGAGGUGAAAUUCUUGGAUUUAUUGAAGACUAACUACUGCGAAAGCAUUUGCCAAGGAUGUUUUCAUUAAUCAAGAACGAAAGUUAGGGGAUCGAAGACGAUCAGAUACCGUCGUAGUCUUAACCAUAAACUAUGCCGACUAGGGAUCGGACGAAGUUAAUUAAUAAUGACGCGUUCGGCAC
rnacentral:misc_RNA from 1 species